UUGUCAAUAUAACUCCUUUAGCUAUUUACAUAAAUUGUUAACGCCCUUAAGUGUUGUCGACUUGUCUGGGUGCUGCACAUUCCUCUAUAUAUGAAUAUUACAUGUAAUGAACUAUCAUAAGGAUGAGA